rnacentral:lncRNA from 1 species
UGAAACAUAUUCUGGAGCUCUCUCUCUAAGUUAAAGCCUGUGCUUGUUCCAUCACAUCGCUCUGCCACACUGGGUUCUCUAAUACAACUGUUAACACCUAUACAGAGAGAGAGAGAGGCUAGGCUUUAGAGAGGCUAGGCUUUAGUGCUAGCUAGAGAUAGAGAGAAUUCAGAGGAGAAAUUAUUUGGUGGAUAAAGUUAAAAAGGCCACAUGCCAGAGGUCUGCAAUGAAAACCUGCAAAAACAUUACUACUACUGCAGCCCAGCUCUCUCUCUCUAUGUCUAUGGACUUC